rnacentral:lncRNA from 1 species
GGCAAAUAAGAGUCGUCACAUAUAUACCGAUGCUUAAUUAUGUGAAGCGUCGGUACAAUAUAUCGGUAUCUUUUAAAAUCUUGACGCUUAAAGCGUCAAAAAAUUAAAAAAUAAUAGUAAAAUUUAUAAUUUAAUAAAUCAGUUUGAUACGAUAGAGGGUUUAUAUGAUGACACUUUUUAAAGCACCGGUAUUUGUUAUAUUAUAGAGACGCUUCACGCAAACAUCGUCUAAAAAGUGUACCCACAUUGAGAUUUUCUUGUAAUAACAUGAUAUUUACGUGAUAAGAAAAGUGUUAUUCUUAUAAAUAUAAAUUUGGAUUAAUUGUAUACAGGUCACUGUAAAUAUAGUGAAUUUCAAAUAUUUAUAUUCAUACAAAGUUCAACUUUCAUAUGUUGUCCCUACAAAAGUCCUGAUAUUUUCAAAUAUGUUCCUGCCAUUAGAAUUCGUUAGAAAAAUUUAGUUAACCAUAGAUUAAAUACUUAAUCCUAAUUAGUUAAUAAGAUGAAUUGACCUUUUUACACCUCUUCAAUUAACGGUUAGUAUUUUUAAAGGAACAUAUUUGUGAUGACAAAAAUGUCAUAUCAGUUAUAAAAUAGACAGUGCUUUAAUGGUAACAAACUAGAAUGACAUAGUUCAAAACAUUAGGAUUUGUAAAGAAAUAGUAUAUGAAAAUUAAACUUUAUACAAAUUUCUUUAUAAUUUGCUAUAUUUGUAAGAAUCUGUAUGAAUCUGUAUGAAGUUAAAUAAUAUAUUUAUAAGAAUCUGUAUGAAAUUAAUUCUAUAAAUUUAUAUGGGCUAUUUAUUUAAAAAAGAUUUAAGAGACAUAAAUGCCAAAAA